GCUCAACUUUCUUGAAAAUCCUAAAUACGAGUGUUAUCUCUAUUUUGAAAAGUUCUAUUUUUAAAUUCGAGUAAAAAGAUGACGUAAUUAAAUGUAUGCAUAAAUGUUACAAUAACAAAUACAUCAAUGGCAUAAAAACAAUAUAAACAAAUAAAUAAACGAAAUGAAAAAACAAUAAUCCAUGACAUGUAAAUUAUUAAAUGAAUAAAUGUCAACACAAUUAAAUAACGAAUGAAGAAAGCAAGCAAAAUAAAUAAAGAAAAGAAG
rnacentral:lncRNA from 1 species